GCAUUUGUGCCAUUACAGUUCACAUCCUAUUUGUGUAACAUACCUAAAGGAUUUUAAUUAAAGAUUUUAUUUAUUAAAAAGUUCUUUAAACUGGACAAACUUAGUAUAGGAGCAAUUUGGAAAAACAUUGAAUCAUUUCUUUUUUAUUUAUUUGCUACUUAAAGAGAUAGUUUGACAGUUCGCCUUACGGAAAGUGGUAGCUGUCGCCUAUAGACAUGAAUAGCACCAUGGAGGUCACAGAAUAUACAGUGAUACCCAUGCGUUAUCAUUCCUGAGAACUACGAUGUUGUGUUUCCCUGUAAUUUCAUUGUCAUAUCCUAUUCCUUUUUCCAUGGCAGGGAGUCAGUGGAUGCAGUUGGCUCAGAACUAUUCCUUAUGGCAAGCUGUGAGGAAGGACUAUAUCCAGUAGUGGUUGAAUAAUGGCUGAAAUGAUGAUAAUCAUGAUUCUGUUCCUCAAACGGGAUCUCAGUCAUGCAAGCACAGAUACUUCGCGGCAUAAACAGGAGUGGGGGCAGAGGUACCCAAAUAAAUGACUUGUAUAUAAAACUCUAUGGUAGAAAUAAAAUGAGCAUAGUCAUAAAGCAGUAAAUAUAUAUUUUGUCCAGAGAAUAUUAAUAAGACUGUAAUAUUUAGAGCGUUUUAUACCAGAGAGAGACAAAAGUUAUACGCGUGGGGACAUCUGUCCUAUUCGUGUUUCUACCGUGAAGCAGUUAUGUUUGUAUAGCUGCGUUUCAGUUCAAAAGGUGGUAUAUGGCAAUGAAAUUACUGGAUUCAGAAAAAUACCCUAGUCCUCAGGAAUGGCAACGCAUGAAGCGUAUUACUGGCGACACAGUAUAUUCUGUUUUGUCCAUGGCACUGUUCAUGUGUAUAGGCGCCAGUUACACUUUCCAUCAGGUGGGCCGUCAGCUUGAUUGCUAAUAAAAGGUGCAUAAAAAAAUUAUUUAAUUUUUUUUUAAUAAAUUAAUUAUUAUUCAGCGGAUAAUGAUUCUUGUACUGAUUACCUACUUACAAGAAGGCAUGGACGCGUACACAGCAUUGUUAAACAUUAUAAUGAUUUGUACAUACGGCUAAACGAGCAUGCGAUUCGCUUGAUGCGGGUCGAGUCGGAUAGUAAGGCGCUGAUCAUCAAUAAUUCGAGCCGCCCGACGUUGAAUGUCGUGUAAUGGAAACAGCUGCCACUGUGAUACUCCAGUCCAGUGGUGAGAAUAAAAAGAGUUACUUCAUACCAGAGACAGAAGUUAGACAGAGAUACUUAUGUAAACGACUUUACACAAAAUAUUCUUUUACUUAAUAGGAACAUUAACAAAAAAACAUAAUAAAUACAAAAUCAAGUAAUAAUGUUUAUGAUAUAGCACAAACACUGCAAAGGACAAACUGUAAAAACAUAUCUGUAAAAUUUUGUCAAUUAAAUAUAUUUAA